rnacentral:rRNA from 1 species
AUUGAACGCUGGCGGCAUGCCUUACACAUGCAAGUCGAACGGCAGCGGGGGAGACGCUUGCUUUUCCUGCCGGCGAGUGGCGAACGGGUGAGUACUACAUCGGAACGUGCCCUGUAGUGGGGGAUAACUAGUCGAAAGAUUAGCUAAUACCGCAUACGACCUGAGGGUGAAAGUGGGGGACCGCAAGGCCUCAUGCUAUAGGAGCGGCCGGUGUCUGAUUAGCUAGUUGGUGGGGUAAAGGCCUACCAAGGCGACGAUCAGUAGCUGGUCUGAGAGGACGAUCAGCCACACUGGGACUGAGACACGGCCCAGACUCCUACGGGAGGCAGCAGUGGGGAAUUUUGGACAAUGGGCGAAAGCCUGAUCCAGCAAUGCCGCGUGUGUGAAGAAGGCCUUCGGGUUGUAAAGCACUUUUGUCCGGAAAGAAAUGGCUCUGGUUAAUACCUGGGGUCGAUGACGGUACCGGAAGAAUAAGGACCGGCUAACUACGUGCCAGCCGCCGCCGUAA